rnacentral:rRNA from 1 species
UACGGAGGGCGCGAGCGUUAAUCGGAAUUACUGGGCGUAAAGCGCGCGUAGGCUGUUGUGUAAGUUGGGGGUGAAAUCCCACGGCUCAACCGUGGAACAGCCCUUGAUACUGCGCGACUUGAAUCCGGGAGAAGGUGGCGGAAUUCCAGGUGUAGGAGUGAAAUCCGUAGAUAUCUGGAGGAACAUCAGUGGCGAAGGCGGCCACCUGGACCGGUAUUGACGCUGAGGCGCGAAAGCGUGGGGAGCAAACAGG